AUGUGCUAUCAAUUUUUUGUUUGUUUGUUUGUUUGUUUUUAAAUCAGUGAUAUAUGCAUGGAGCCAGAGGAAUGGUUUAUGGUGAAGGAAAGCAGCUUCAGUUUUGUGACCCAUCUGUACUUAAUAGUAAAUAAUUUGACCUUUGUAUACAUUUCACCUCACGAUGGCGCCAUCUGCAAACAUAACCUUUUCAUAUACUCCGCUGCGUUUCAACUACCGUAGGUUACAGUGGAUCUGGAGCCACUGGACAUAGUCACACCUAUUCACACCAAGGGAUAAAUUAGAGACAUCAUCAUUGCUGUGGUACCUGGAGGGUGACCACAGAGACCCGGACAAAGCAGGUGACACUCAACACAGACAGGAACCUGAGCUCAGGAUUGAACCUAGGGUUGGACAUACAGUCACAUUUUUGUUAGGAGGAAAAAAUCACACUAAAUGUCUCAUUACCAUAAAUGAAAUGUCUGUCUUCUUUAUUUAUGGAUACACAAACUUUUGGACUUAACUGUGUUAGUCUUAUUAUCUCAGUCACGACACCUGGCACAAGUCAGCAAUUCAGACUUGCCCUUUGCUAUUAGCACCAAGGCUCUAAUACAAGUCCAGGUUUGAAACUAUAGUUGUGUUUUUGUUCUUGUAUUAUUAUACAACAUUGCCAAUCUAAACUAAUCCUCCGCAUUGUUCCCUGGGAUAGGCUCCAGUCUCCCCAUGACCCUGUGCAGGUUAAACAGUACUGAAAAUGGAUGGAAAACAGACAUCAAAUCUUUAGUAGCACUUGAUUAUCAAGUAGCGCUGGGCUAUAUGACAAAAAUAUUACAUCACGAUACUUGAGGACAUUUCGAUGAUGCACAAUGCGCAUCACAAUAUAUAAUUUAGUUAACAAACUGUCUGCAAAACGGCAGUAAAAUAAACAAAUAAACCAUUAAACCAAGUUCAGUGAUUCUA